CUUGCCAUCCAUGACCGGCUUUGCGGUGGUUACCAUUAGUUACCACUAGGGGCGCCCUGCGGGACCCCGAAGAACAUUUGGUCUUGGAGCAGGACUCUCUUACCCAGUUACUCUCUCUCUCCUGCCUUCACCGAUCAACUCCUCCAGACUACUCAGGAUCAUCUAACAAGCCGGAUUAAUGUCCUGGGACCCAUCAUAAAGACUGCAGCCUUCAGACACACUGUCAGCAUGUUGGGACUCUGCAAGCAGACAGAAGAGAAAGACUUCCCUGCUAAUUGAAGAAACAAAAAAUCAUGUGUGAACUGACUGUGGAGAGGGCCACAUGGCCAGGAACUGGGAAACCUCUGGAUGCUGAGAGAGAGCAGGAAAAUGGGGACCUCAGACCCAUAGCUGUAAGAUGAACCCUGUUGACAACCUAAAGGAGCCCGGAAGCAGAUUCCCCCCCAGCUAAGCAUCUGAUCAGACUGCAGCCCUGCAGACACCUGGAUUGCAGCCUUGUGGGAACCUGCGCAUAGGCACGGAAGCUGUGUGUCCCUGAACUCCUGGCCCAUGGAA